AGACCACCGCCUCCAGGGCCAGGACCCCAACGUUGCCCAUUCCACCGAUCCCACCUCUGCCGGCCAUGGUGAAGUCGUACUCGAGGGGCAGGUCGUCGAGGCAGUCUGCGUUCAGCUGGAGAGCAGGUCACAGAAGACUCACAGCGAUGCCCAGAGCUUUCAGGAUGUUCAUCUUGCACAUGGGACACGUGCGAUGGUCCAGCAGCCACGGAUCCACACAGCUCUUAUGGAAUAAAUGUCUGCGAGGGAACAGAAGCAGAGAGACGGGUCACACCAACAUGCUGCAGGAGAAUCCAGCUCACAGCUGCUUCCAUUUUCAGCAGUUACACAAGAAUCUGACUAAACGCGCUUUUUGUUUGCUCCGUUAUCUCAUGAAUUUUGUUGCAUAAUCACAGGCAGUAAAUAACUGCGCUGUCGUAAGGAGAGUCACUGUAGCCUGAGGAAACCAGCUCCAUUAUCUCCACAGACAUGCAGUGAGUGUCGUUAACAACAGAGUUUGAAAAGUCUGAUCAUUCAAAACCAAGUAGAAAGAUGAACAAAAGGAAAAGUGAUGAGAAAAAACCACGCGAGUGACGACUGAUGACAAACUGCUCAUCAGUGUUUUAGUGGAACCGACCAAAGCACUAACAUGUUUAACCUGUCAACGUGUGAUGGUCACAUGGUACCAGCAUCUAGGUGGAGCAGCAGUAGCAGUAGUAGUAGUAGUAGUAGUAUAGGUAGUAGUAGUAGUGGUAGUAUAGGUAGUAGUAGCAGUAGUAGUCGUCGUCUCAGUCACUGGAAACACUUCUGGCCUGAUCAUGAAUCAAAUAAUUUAGCAUCUUUCUGGAGACUUUGAAUGUAUUUUAGUAAGUGUGUAAAACCUGAGAAAAGUUUGUAAAUCCUGAAUUUAAAAAAGAAAACAGUGUUUGCGUCAAACCUAAAAACCUGUUACUUCAGGUAUUACAGUAUAAUUAAAGCGCAUCCAGGGAAGGGACCACCUUCCUCAGGCACAACAUAAACCCAGUACAUUGAGACUAAGAUGUUAAAUAUACAUGAGUGGAAAAUAACAGAA